rnacentral:rRNA from 1 species
GUAGGUGGCAAGCGUUGUCCGGAAUUAUUGGGCGUAAAGCGCGCGCAGGCGGUUCUUUAAGUCUGAUGUGAAAGCCCACGGCUCAACCGUGGAGGGUCAUUGGAAACUGGAGAACUUGAGUACAGAAGAGGAAAGCGGAAUUCCACGUGUAGCGGUGAAAUGCGUAGAGAUGUGGAGGAACACCAGUGGCGAAGGCGGCUUUCUGGUCUGUAACUGACGCUGAGGCGCGAAAGCGUGGGGAGCAAACAGGAUUAGAUACCCUGGUAGACCACGCCGUAAACGAUGAGUGCUAAGUGUUAGGGGGUUUCCGCCCCCCUUAGUGCUGCAGCUAACGCAUUAAGCACUCCGCCUGGGAGUACGGCCGCGAGGCUG